rnacentral:snRNA from 1 species
UGUAAGGGCAGCCUGGCUGCGACACCUGUCACUCCACUGAAUGCUAGAGUUGAUUCAGCUGAUCAGGCUGGCUAGGUAGGUGUCCCUUUCCUUCCUCAUUGCCCCAUGUAUGUCCCUCCCAAAGCUGCAUGCUAUGUCACUAUGUCAAAAAGGACAAUCUUCCCAGAAUAGAGAAGCCUGGGCUUCAGUCAAGGGUAUACAAGUGGCUGCCCUUCUCCAAACAGGCUUUCAAACAGGACACUCAAGCUUAUGAGGUCCCACACUGCACAGCUAGGAGGUAAAAGAAGCAGACCCGGAAUCAGCCUGCCCUG